UAGCUCAGCUGGGAGAGCACCUCCCUUACAAGGAGGGGGUCGGGCGGUUCGAGUCCCGUCAUCACCCACCA
rnacentral:tRNA from 1 species